rnacentral:tRNA from 1 species
CGGGGCGUAGCGCAGUGGCAGCGCACGUGGUUUGGGACCAUGGGGUCGGGAGUUCGAAUCUCUUCGCCCCGACCA